AUACGGAGGGUGCAAGCGUUGUUCGGAAUCAUUGGGCGUGAAGCGCGUGUAGGCGGCCGACUAAGUCUGGUGUGAAAGCCCGGGGCUUAACCCCGGAAGUGCACUGGAUACUGGCCGGCUAGAGGGCGAGAGGGGGAAGCGGAAUUCCUGGUGUAGGGGUGAAAUCCGUAGAUAUCAGGAGGAACAUCGGUGGCGAAGGCGGCUUCCUGGCUCGUACCUGACGCUGAGACGCGAAAGCGUGGGGAGCAAACAGGAUUAGAAACCCUAGUAGUCC
rnacentral:rRNA from 1 species